rnacentral:rRNA from 17 species
GAACCAGUACCGUGAGGGAAAGGCGAAAAGAACCCCUGUGAGGGGAGUGAAAUAGAACCUGAAACCGUGUGCCUACAACCGGUCAAAGCCCCUUAUGAGGGUGAUGACGUGCUUUUUGUAGAACGAGCCAACGAGUUACGGUAUGUAGCAAGGUUAAGUACUUAAGGUACGGAGCCGAAGGGAAACCGAGUCUUAAUAGGGCGACUAGUUGCAUGCCGUAGACCCGAAACCGGGUGACCUAUCCAUGGCCAGGUUGAAGCGAGGGUAAAACCUCGUGGAGGACCGAACCACGUUGCUGUUGAAAAAGCAUGGGAUGAGCUGUGGAUAGCGGAGAAAUUCCAAUCGAACUCGGAGAUAGCUGGUUCUCCCCGAA